rnacentral:misc_RNA from 1 species
UACAGAGGCCCCAAGCGUUACCCGGAAUCACUGGGCGUAAAGGAUGCGUAGGUGGUUAUGUUAGUCCUUAGUGAAAUGCUGCGGCUCAACCGCAGAACUGUCUAAGGAAACGGCAUAACUAGAGGAUGUAAGAGGUAUGCGGAACUCACGGUGUAGGGGUAAAAUCCGUUGAUAUCGUGGGGAACACCAUAUGCGAAGGCAGCAUACUGGGACACUCCUGACACUGAGGCAUGAAAGCGUAGGUAGCGAACGGG